CCUACGGGGGGCAGCAGUGAGGAAUAUUGGUCAAUGGCCGCAGGGCUGAACCAGCCAAGUCGCGUGAGGGAUGACGGUCCUAUGGAUUGUAAACCUCUUUUGUCAGGGAGCAAAGGGCGCCACGUGUGGCGCUUUGCGAGUACCUGAAGAAAAAGCAUCGGCUAACUCCGUGCCAGCAGCCGCGGUAAUACGGAGGAUGCGAGCGUUAUCCGGAUUUAUUGGGUUUAAAGGGUGCGCAGGCGGAAUGUCAAGUCAGUGGUAAAAUUUCGGGGCUCAACCCCGUCGUGCCGUUGAGACUGGCGUUCUUGAGUGAGCGAGAAGUAUGCGGAAUGCGUGGUGUAGCGGUGAAAUGCAUAGAUAUCACGCAGAACUCCGAUUGCGAAGGCAGCAUACCGGCGCUCAACUGACGCUCAUGCACGAAAGCGUGGGUAUCGAACAGGAUUAGAUACCCUGGUAGUC
rnacentral:rRNA from 1 species